UACAUACUGUGCGAACGUUAUUCGGAUUCACUGGGCUUAAAGGGUGCGUAGGUGGCAUGUUAAGUAGGGCGUGAAAUCCCCCAGCUCAACUGGGGAACUGCGUUCUAAACUGGCGUGCUAGAGUGAGAUAGGGGUGUCCGGAACUGCCAGUGGAGCGGUGAAAUGUGUUGAUAUUGGCAGGAACGCCGGUGGCGAAAGCGGGACACUGGGUCUCAACUGACACUGAGGCACGAAAGCCAGGGGAGCGAACGGG
rnacentral:rRNA from 1 species